rnacentral:lncRNA from 10 species
CGCUUCCGAGUUUCAGAGGCUCAGGAGAGGGGUCGGGCAGCCCUUCCAGGGAGAAUUCUCACAGCUGCACCACUCUGCAAACGACUCACAGGCGUUGCAGUUUCCUAUCGGGUCGCUGAAUGAUUUUAUGAGGGAAAAACAGCUGACCUGGCCAUGGCUCUUCUUCCAUAAAAUAAUCAAUUUUUGUAUUUAGCAACAGCAGGCCACAAACCGAGUUUCUUCCUUGGCUUCCAUUCCAGUUUAUGAGUCAAAAAUAAUUUUCCCCUUUUGCAAGUCCAACAUCGAUCCCACUUGGAAGCCGCGGUGGUCAAGAGAUUCCUCAGAAAUGAACCUGACAAAAUGGAGCUGGUGACAGUUUUCCUUUCUCUAAAAAACUUCUACCGAAACAGACUCUAUUAAUCGCGGGUGCAGCUACUAUUCCAAGAAACUGCGUGAAGACAUUUUUUUCUUUCUCAGUAGCUGUUCAUCACCGUGAAGGAGACGAUGACGAGGUUCCCAACCCAAGCACUGGGCUACGCGCCUCUUCCACGCUGCACGAGACGAGAGAACACCACCACUAAUGGGAAGACUGCCCCCUGACCGGCACAUGGCCUCAGCAUUCAUCCACAGAUGCUCCUCAAAUUGUUUUAAAAACAGCUUUUUUUAAAAGCUGUUUGUCUAUGAAGAUUAAAUGAGUUAAUAAUAUAAGCAAAGCACUUUGCAUGGCUACUGGGCACGGUGGUUCAUGCCUGUAAUUCCAGCACUUUGGGAGGCCGAAGCAGGUGGAUCACCUGAGGUCAGGAGUUCAAGACCAGCCUGAUCAACAUGGCGAAACCCUGUCUCUAUUAAAAAUACAAAAAAAAUAGCCGGGCAUGGUGGCACGUGCCUGUAAUCCCAGCUACUUGGGAGGCUAAGGCAGGAGAAUCGCUUGAACCUGGGAGGCAGAGGUUGCAGUGAGCCGAGACCUCGCCGUUGCACUCCAGCCUGGUUGACAGAGCAAGACUCUGUCUCAAAAAACAAAAAAACCCCAGCUUUUGUCCAGAGGUUGCUUUUUGUGGGUCUGUACGCUGAGGCCAAGUUCUAUGUAAGCAGAGCCCUCCCACCUCACCUCCAAACAAUGCCUCUAAACCAUCACAAUCUGAAAGGAAAAUAAAUCCCUUUCUUCAAUGGUGACCUGAAGCUAGCCAAGGACCGGGUGCUGGCAGGUGGCCUGCGAGACUGGGUCGGAUCCCGGGUUACUGUCUGAGGAGGGAUGCCGUGCUGUAAGGGUUGGGGAGCCAGUGUCUGGCUUCCUUGUCACCACAAGACCUGUGGUUUCCAGCUCUGUCUGCAUCCAGGUCCCACUAACCAACAGCAGGAGAGAAAACAGUUGUGCACACAGGCGGACGCGCACACGCGCACCUGGCCCCCCAGACGUGCACAGCCCUCAGAGGAAGUGGAGCACCAGAUGUUCUGGGUUUCCUGUUCGACGCUUCCACAGCUGGUCGAGUCUGUGGUUGUGGUUUGUCUGUCUCGGGCUCAUGUGAGAGACAAAAGCUGGGCUGACGGGAAACCUCUUCUCUCGGCCCCCACUCCCCAGCUCUGACUGAUUAGGAAACCUGGCAGGUCAGAAAUUUCCUGAAACACCCAGAGCUGGAUUCUCCCAAGAAGAAGCUGAACCCCCAACUCCCAUCCCUGAGGAGCAGCCCCUGGGCUGAUGAUCAGGACUUACAGAACCUGGGGCGAUGGAAACCUCUACAAAUAUCCCAUUUAGAAAGACCGCCAGCCCUGCCAACAGAAUGAAACGGAGGCCAGGUUGCUAUGGUCUCUACUCCAAUGCCUGACAUUGAGCCGCUGCUGCAAAACACUCAGCACAUGAAGGAAUGAAUGAGGAACAGAGAACUUCACCUUUGGGGGUUGGGUGUACAAGCCCCAACUGGGCCCCAAGUCCCAUAAAUAGCUUUGGAUUCCAACAUACAAGCAUUUGACGCAGCGAGGUGCUGCCGACUUGCUCUGUGACUUGGAGCAAGUCAUUUAGCCUCUCUGGGCCUGGUGUCCUCAUCUGCAGAAUGGAGAUGAUAAUAUCUACUUCACAAAGGUGUGAAGGCCCUGUGAGACACCGCAUGUGGAUUUCCUCGACAUUGUUUGCCCAUCGUAACUGCUCCAGAGAGGCUGGGCUCCCUUUUCUCGUUGCAACACUGCUGUUUAUUUCAGGAGAUACUCUAAAAGGGAAGCAAGCUAAAACAAAGAACAACCAAAAACACUGAUCCCGGGACAACUGCCCGGCAGGACAGCAGAGCAAGGGUACUUGGUGCUCUUCGUUGGGGGGAUGUUGGGAGAAGGGGCUGGAGCCAUCCCAGGGUCUCCAGGCUCUGGAAGGGAGCACCCCAUGUCCUCCUCUGGGUGUGGAAUAGGGUGAGUGUCUUAGGGGUGGAGAGAGAACAGGCAGAGUGUGCUCUCACCCCUUAGCUCUGUAGUGAUUUUAAUGAUUAAGGCUACUGUUCGGUCUGCAUUUGGACCUGAGCAACAGGGACCCCUGCCCAGAGGUCCAUCCUUCAGCAGCGUGCACUGCAUCCCCCUCCACUGCAGCUGACUCUAUGAGAUGAAGCAUCUGUCGCUCAGUGUAGCCAUCAGGUCCACUGCCCCUGAAAUAUGACUGACUAGGUUCAAAUGUUGACUCUGACACUUAGAAGCUGUGCCACCUUGGGGCAAGUUACUUCAUCUCUCUGUGCCUUACUUUCUUCCUUUAUAAAAUGGGUAAAAUAAUAACCACACCAUCGGUUGUCUAUGAAGAUUAAAUGAGUUGAUAAUAUAUGCAAAGCACUUAGCAUGGCUACUGGCACAAGGGUCAGUAAACGUUAACUGUUCCACACAUGAAUGUGUUUGAUUCUUAUAAUGCCCCAUGGGUAGAUUCUGUUAUUAGCUCUGUUUUACACAUGAGAAAACUUAGGCACAGGAGGUAAAGUAACAUUUGCAAGGUCACACCGUUAAGUAGCAAGGCUGAGGCUUUACUCCAGUUCUUUUUUUUUUUUUUUUUUUUGAGGCAUCUCACCAGGCUGGAGUGCAGUGGCACAAUCUCAGCUCACUGCAACCUCUGCCUCCCGGGCUCAAGCAAUUCUCCUGCCUCAGCCUCCCGAGUAGCUGGGAUUACAGGUGUGCACCACCAUGCCCGGCUAAUUUUUGUAUUUUUAGUAGAUACGGAGUUUCGUCAUGUUGGCCAGGCUGGUCUCGAACUCCUGACCUCAGG